UACGUAGGGUGCAAGCGUUAAUCGGAAUUACUGGGCGUAAAGCGUGCGCAGGCGGUUAUGCAAGACAGAGGUGAAAUCCCCGGGCUCAACCUGGGAACUGCCUUUGUGACUGCAUGGCUAGAGUACGGUAGAGGGGGAUGGAAUUCCGCGUGUAGCAGUGAAAUGCGUAGAUAUGCGGAGGAACACCGAUGGCGAAGGCAAUCCCCUGGACCUGUACUGACGCUCAUGCACGAAAGCGUGGGGAGCAAACAGGAUUAGAUACCCUGGUAGUCCACGCCCUAAACGAUGUCAACUGGUUGUUGGGAGGGUUUCUUCUCAGUAACGUAGCUAACGCGUGAAGUUGACCGCCUGGGGAGUACGGCCGCAAGGUUGAA
rnacentral:rRNA from 1 species